GGGUAGACGAUGGCAAAUUGGUUAAUAUUCCAAUACCAACAUUAGUGUGCGAUGGAAGGACGCUUAGGGCUAAGGGGGCUAGCGGAUGGAAGUGCUAGUCUAAGGUCGUAGGAGGUUAUACAGGCAAAUCCGUAUAACAAUACUCCGAGAACUGAAAGGCUUUUUGAAGUCUUCGGAUGGAUAGAAGAACCCCUGAUGCCGUCGAGCCAAGAAAAGUUUCUAAGUUUAGCUAAUGUUGCCCGUACCGUAAACCGACACAGGUGGGUGGGAUGAGUAUUCUAAGGCGCGUGGAAGAACUCUCUUUAAGGAACUCUGCAAAAUAGCACCGUAUCUUCGGUAUAAGGUGUGGUUAGCUUUGUAUUAGGAUUUACUCCGAAAGCAAGGAAACUUACAACAAAGAGUCCCUCCCGACUGUUUACCAAAAACACAGCACUCUGCUAACUCGUAAGAGGAUGUAUAGGGUGUGACGCCUGCCCGGUGCUCGAAGGUUAAUUGAUGGGGUUAGCAUUAGCGAAGCUCUUGAUCGAAGCCCGAGUAAACGGCGGCCGUAACUAUAACGGUCCUAAGGUAGCGAAAUUCCUUGUCGGUUAAAUACCGACCUGCAUGAAUGGCGUAACGAGAUGGGAGCUGUCUCAAAGAGGGAUCCAGUGAAAUUGUAGUGGAGGUGAAAAUUCCUCCUACCCGCGGCAAGACGGAAAGACCCCGUGGACCUUUACUACAGCUUGACACUGCUACUUGGAUAAGAAUGUGCAGGAUAGGUGGGAGGCUUUGAGUAUAUGACGCCAGUUGUAUAUGAGCCAUUGUUGAGAUACCACUCUUUCUUAUUUGGGUAGCUAACCAGCUUGAGUUAUCCUCAAGUGGGACAAUGUCUGGUGGGUAGUUUGACUGGGGCGGUCGCCUCCCAAAUAAUAACGGAGGCUUACAAAGGUUGGCUCAGAACGGUUGGAAAUCGUUCGUAGAGUAUAAAGGUAUAAGCCAGCUUAACUGCAAGACAUACAAGUCAAGCAGAGACGAAAGUCGGUCUUAGUGAUCCGGUGGUUCUGUGUGGAAGGGCCAUCGCUCAAAGGAUAAAAGGUACCCCGGGGAUAACAGGCUGAUCUCCCCCAAGAGCUCACAUCGACGGGGAGGUUUGGCACCUCGAUGUCGGCUCAUCGCAUCCUGGGGCUGGAGCAGGUCCCAAGGGUAUGGCUGUUCGCCAUUUAAAGCGGUACGCGAGCUGGGUUCAGAACGUCGUGAGACAGUUCGGUCCCUAUCUGCCGUGGGCGUAAGAAGAUUGAAGAGAUUUGACCCUAGUACGAGAGGACCGGGUUGAACAAACCACUGGUGUAGCUGUUGUUCUGCCAAGAGCAUCGCAGCGUAGCUAAGUUUGGAAAGGAUAAACGCUGAAAGCAUCUAAGCGUGAAGCCAACUCUAAGAUGAAUCUUCUCUAAGCUCUCUAGAAGACUACUAGUUUGAUAGGCUGGGUGUGUAAUGGAUGAAAGUCCUUUAGCUGACCAGUACUAAUAGAGCGUUUGGCUUAUCUUUAAUAAAGCAU
rnacentral:rRNA from 1 species